AUUGAACGCUGGCGGCAGGCCUAACACAUGCCAGUCGAGCGGAUGAAGGGAGCUUGCUCCUGGAUUCAGCGGCGGACGGGUGAGUAAUGCCUAGGAAUCUGCCUGGUAGUGGGGGAUAACGUCCGGAAACGGGCGCUAAUACCGCAUACGUCCUGAGGGAGAAAGUGGGGGAUCUUCGGACCUCACGCUAUCAGAUGAGCCUAGGUCGGAUUAGCUAGUUGGUGGGGUAAAGGCCUACCAAGGCGACGAUCCGUAACUGGUCUGAGAGGAUGAUCAGUCACACUGGAACUGGGACACGGUCAAGACGCCUACGGGAGGCAGCAGUGGGGAAUAUUGGACAAUGGGCGAAAGCCUGAUACAGCCAUGCCGCGUGUGUGAAGAAGGUCUUCGGAUUGUAAAGCACUUUAAGUUGGGAGGAAGGGCAGUAAGUUAAUACCUUGCUGUUUUGACGUUACCAACAGAAUAAGCACCGGCUAACUUCGUG
rnacentral:rRNA from 1 species